UAUAUAUAUAUAUAUAUAUAUAUAUAUAUAUAUAUAUAAACGUAUGUUGAUUUCUAUAUAUUCUUUUUGUAUGAUUUAUAAAUGUUAAAUAAUGUGUUUGAUAUAAAUGUGAUAAUAGAUGUAGUAUUUUUAUAUUAUUAAACAUUAUAUUAUUUUUAUACUAUUUGUUAUUCAUUAUAUAAAGAAAUCAACAUAUGUUUUAUAUACAAUUUACACAACUUAAAAUGGUUUAAAAAAUCAUCAAAAAUUAUAAUAUAUAUUUUUUCAUACUAAUUUUUUAUUUGUUAUAUAUAUAAAUCAACAUACAUUUGAUAUACAGUUCACAAAACUUAAAAUGAUCUAUAAAAGUAUCAAUUGAUAGUAGAAAUAACCAAUGAUAUAAAAAUAUGACAGUUAAUAACUGUUAAUAAAACCAAUAGUUAACUAAAGGUUUUGUUUUGCUAAUGAUAUUGUUUUUUAUAUAUAAAUAUUAAAUCAUAAUUUGUUAAAAUUUAUUAUUUUAAUUAAAUAAUUAUAUAUUCGCGCAACGCAAAGGUCGCCUUGUAGAAUUAUAUUAUAAGGUAAAAAAUACAUAUAUUUUAUUAUUCAUCGUCGUCUUUGAUCAUUAAUUACUAUAAUGUUUAAACAUUAAGUUGUCUAUGUUAUCACAUUAUUCAAAAUAAUGAUAAUGUUUUACAACAACAUUUCAAUUUAGUUUAGAAAAAAAAUUAUUUCAAAGUUAAUGACAAUGACUCAUUUUUAACGAAAUAUAUUUGUUAUAAUUUUGACUAUUUAACUAUAUUCAUGCGCGAAUAUUCAUCUAGUAAACAAAACAAAUAGGCGACAAUAAAUAUAGUAUCUUUGUAAAAGCAAAAUAAAUGAUUGAUAUUUUUCUAUAUUUGUAUUUCAUGACCUAUUUUUCUUGUCUGUAUUCAUAAUCAAAUAUACUACAAAUAAGUAUUUCAUGAAGGUUAAAUAGUUGUCGAAAAUUAAUAUUUUGUAUGAUUUUUUAAAACAAUUCAAAAAAUACCGAGUUUGGAAAAGCCUGUUUCCAAAAUCCAGUUUGCAACUUUACACCAAAAGCUGAUUAUGACAAACUAACUUGGUAAUUGGUUUUUCUAUAUCUACUGAUGCACACAUGUGAAGUGAAGUGUAUGGUUCAUACAUGAUGCAUCAAAUUUGUUCUAGUCAACAUAACCUUUUCCAACAAAAAAAAUCCAAAAUCAUGUUAAGAGAACACGAAAAAUCAUUUAUACAAUACAUGUUAUGGUUUUAAUCCUAAAGCUAGUUAUAUAAAACUACAACCAAGUUGUUCACGACACCAAUAACUAGAGUGGCAUACACAUGUACUUCCAUUCAUAUAACUACUUAUAAUAUACUUUCUAAAUCAGGUCGACAAUUCAUCAUCCACUUUUUAGAUAAACAACAAGAAUGACUAAAUAACCCUCCCAAAGUUAUGUAAUACAACAAAGGGUCUUCAUGUUUGCAAUAUAACAAAGUUAUGUAAUACAACAAAGUUAUGUUGCAACAAUUUGAGGAAAACAUUGUGAUGGAUCAUCCCUAUUGCAUGUUGCAACAUAUUAUUAUUGCUUCAAUUAUGUCAAGUUCCUUUGUGGCAUCCAUAGCAUGUAUUUUUAAAUGCUGAUGGGAGUUCACCUGCAUUAAGAAACAACAUAUUUUUGAAAGCAACUAAUUAUCCGCUUGCAAAAGAGCUCAAUAGCCUCGUCAUCUAAUAAACUAAUAGUGUAUAUCACGUCUACUUUGUAAGCAUUUAAGAAAUGAUUAUCUCUAGUUUUGGUUAUUAUUGGCUUCAUUCAUCAAACCAAAUAUGUGAUGGUCAAUAUGAUCCAUAUCAUUAAGAACAAGCAACACAAUUCUGUAGUGAAACCUAUUAAUUAUAAAGCAUCAUCCUGCUUUAACUCUGUUUAUUUCCAUUUAUUUUCGUUUCAAAAUGUUUAAAGGCUUUUUUUUUCUUACAACUUUUCUAAACGAUACAUGCUUGAGUCGUCUAAAAUUCCUUCAACAAUGCAGCAACCAUCAAACUUGCUAGAUAUUUCACUAUAUGAAAAUACAUCAACCAUCAAUCAUACGCACACCAUUAAUAACUUUCAUUUCAAAUGUUGUUGCGAGCUUCUAUUCUACGCGGGUGUUAAUUUACGGUUGUAAGUUGAAAUUAUAUCAAUUUCUUUGAUGCACUUUGAUCCAUGCCUACAUAUUGGAUAUACAAGGAUAAUAAACAUAUGCUCACAUUGACAAAUGGAGGUAAUUUGUUUCAUGUUUUAUAAAAUAAAGUGUUCACAUUCAAACACACACACACACACACACACACACACAUAUAUAUAUAUAUAUAUAUAUAUAUUGUAAAACACACAAUCCUAAGCAUAAAAGUGCAAAAACAAAGAAGAAAAUCACUCUAUGGCACAUACUUGAGUUCUCAUGCAGAGAGGUUACUUGCAUCCACAAGUGCUUUUCUCCAAGUUUCAACUUUGUUUUUGUUCUCUAACUCAUGUUUGACAAAUGUUUCUCUGUAUUUUCUUUUGUAUUUUCUUUUUGAUUUCGUUAGUAUAUAAGAUCCGCAUCAUAAAAUAUUGGGAUGACAAUUUAAAAGAUGGGGAUAACAAUCUGCCCACUUGUAUCCUUGCACUUCAUAAUAUAUGCAAGUUCAUCCGGAUACCACUAUGAAUCUACAUAGUUUUUAGAGAAUACGAUGACGACAAUCGGUGAUUCCACGGAAUAGCCUUCAUAAGGGAUAGACCGAUCAGUUCACCUUAAGGAAAUGUCUUUUCAUCCUCGUAAGUGUAGAUUCCUUGUUGUACAAGAGCUGCGUAGAAAUGAUCCACAAAAGUCUUGCGAGUAUCAUUUCUUUUAAAACUGAGAAAAACAUCACGAUUCCACGAUUCACAAGAAAAUACCGGAGCCAAAAAAGAAGAUAAUGAUGAAGAUGACAUUGAUGGGUGCAUUUGUUUAGAUAGACCAUAAGUAGAGCACCUGGAUGAAAUGAAAUGAAGUAAAUAUCAAGAGCUAUGAGCUUCCAAAGAAAUUUGCAAUUUAAAAGAGAAGCUCAAAAAUAAAAAGGUAUCGUUGAAAUUUUUAAUAAAGCUACCAGAGUUGCUUUCCCAUUGAUAUUUAUCGAAAUCAAAUGAUAUUUUCAAUAAAGCUAGCAGAGAUGCUUCAAGAAACAUGUGUAACUUUAUGAUAAAACAGAAGAAAACAAGACAGGUGUAAUUCACAAGAUUUGCAUUGAAAUGGCAUAAAACACGAGUCUUGGACACAGUUGUGUUUUAAAAGGUCAACCAAAAAGAACCCACAAAUACUCUUAUGUAAAUACUCUAUACUCGACCUCAAAAAAUAUCUGUAUAUCCACUUCCAAUAAAAUUAGGGAAAGAACCCAAUAAAGUUAAACAGAUCUGGAAGCACCCAAAUUAGGAAAGCAUAAUGAAGAAGUUUCUAUCAAAAGAAUUUCAAGAGCAAUAUAACUGGGGUGCAAAAAAUUAAUAGUGGACUCCAAGAUUCAAAUGGAAUACCAUUCAAAUAAUAAAAC
rnacentral:lncRNA from 1 species